AUAUAUAUAUGAUCAGCGUAUGCGAGAGAAAAAGAGAAAGAAGACAUGAGAGAGAAGAGCGUAACCGCGAAAGAACUAAACUCCUACCAAAUUUCUGGCUUCGAUUUCUUAUAAUCUGUAACUCCAAUAAAAAAUUUAAUCCGGUAAAAGUAUUCGUAUCAUUUUUCUCUACACAUUGGUACUACUUUUGAUCGGUGAAAGUUGACAGUGACGUAGCUCUCCUAUCUCUUGAGUUUGGCCAACGGGAGUUUUAGGAGGCACAGAUGAUUCUGGACGGUUUCUUCUUCGAUAGCUCGGUCCAAAAGCUUCUCCAGAGCUUCGAAUAUUUUGAUUCCGUACGAAGAUGCAGGUCGAGAUGCACCUCGUUGAGCGUCUAGAGACCCUCCUUACAAGCGAAGAACUACCUUUUGGACUGUCAUAUUUUGUUUUAGGCUAUGUAUAUAUGUUUAUAGAAUCUCCGCAUGUAUAUUUUGUGUUUUGUCCCCCCUAGAGGUCGAUUUGGAGAUACAGGUGUUUAUUUUGUAGUUUGAGUUUUGUUUGGGGUUGUAUAUAUAUAUAAUUAUAUACUCUGACCAGCCUUAGCUUCGCAGGUCGAGUCUGGAGCUUGCUAUCUGAGUUUUGGAACUCUGAUAUGUAUAUAUGUUUUCAGUUUUCUUUCGAUUUUACCUGUCCGUUUUACGAAUAUCCAUGCGAGUGUGACACGAUUUUCUGUUUAUCGAUUUUGUUUAGCUUAUCCUUUAA